AUUGAACGCUGGCGGCAUGCUUUACACAUGCAAGUCGAACGGCAGCGCGGGCUUCGGCCUGGCGGCGAGUGGCGAACGGGUGAGUAAUGCAUCGGAACGUGCCCAGUAGUGGGGGAUAGCCCGGCGAAAGCCGGAUUAAUACCGCAUACCACCUGCGGGUGAAAGCGGGCGAUCGAAACGCCUUGCGCUCUUGGUGCGGCCGAUGUCGGAUUAGCUAGUUGGUGGGGUAAAGGCUUACCAAGGCGACGAUCCGUAGCUGGUCUGAGAGGACGACCAGCCACACUGGGACUGAGACACGGCCCAGACUCCUACGGGAGGCAGCAGUGGGGAAUUUUGGACAAUGGGGGCAACCCUGAUCCAGCCAUGCCGCGUGCGGGAAGAAGGCCUUCGGGUUGUAAACCGCUUUUGUUCGAGAAGAAAUCCUCUGGGCUAAUACCCCGGGGGGAUGACGGUACCGGAAGAAUAAGCACCGGCUAACUACGUG
rnacentral:rRNA from 1 species